rnacentral:lncRNA from 1 species
CGCCACUGCUGCCCCAUAAAUACCUGCUGGAUAAACCAACACCGAAAGAUGACAUCAACCAAAGGCCCGGGGCAGCUCUGCUCGAACCUGGUCGGGGCAGCCAGAGCCUGCUCACAGCAGCUGGGUGUCGUUUCCCAGGUCCUUGUUCAGCGACAUGUCAUUGGUAUUUUGGAAUAAGCCACGACAAGGGUAUUUACGCCACAGAAACAGCCAACCCCUACAAACCAAGGAUUUUUUUUUAAGGAGAACUGACCUGAAGCAUUUACCAGCAUGACACUAUUGCCCUUCCACUACCAUUGUGGAAAAAUGUCACAAAAAUACCUACGUUUUGGCUGUGAAGCCAAACGAGACACCGGAACUUAGUUCAUUUGGCUUACUUUGCUAAGCUAAAAGACAAAAUAAGUCCCUGAAAAUAAAUUCCAUGGUCUUUUCAGGGUUGGUGUGAUGUGUUUGUUUAUUAUGAGCACUGUGGAGAAGAUCCAAGAUUGAUUAUCGUCACAAUGCAGCCAUGUAUGACGAUCUAUGCUGAGUCUAUGUAGAGGUUCUCCACGGAAAUAAUCCCUCCAGUCGACUGCACUGCUGCAACAACGUGCGCCUGGGGGAAUCAGUUUAACCGAACAGGAGCUUGACAAGGCCCAGGUGCUGUGAUCAGAAAUGGGGAAUGGUGGUGAAGAAGGUCCCGAGGUCCUCAAGAUCCUCGCAGUCUAAGCGGAUAGUGCUAUGUGCCGUCAACUAAAAGGACUGCAGACAGACGCUCUAACACACAGAGCCAUAAAUCAGGGUGAUGUCUUUUCCCUGUAUUUCUUCAUUAUCGAUAUAUUCUAAUUUUUAAAAAAAUCGUAAGCCUGAUGAUGACAAUUUGGAAAUAAUGCAAAUGGUCAUUGGAUCCUGUCUUCUGCUCACCUCAGAAGGGACCAGGCUCGUGUUCACUGGCGGCGAUGAGAGCGCUGUGUAGAGGAGGGCGAAGGAGGAGAGGCCAGGAAGCGGGCGCUCCCCACACCCCAGGCCGAGGAUGGGUUCUCACCACCAACACAGGCGGCAGCAGCAAGACCAACACUUUAAUGCAUCAUGAAAGACCGGAACACCUGGAUGGUAUGUACAAGCGUCAUCGGAAUUGGUCUUGGGAUCGAAGCGCUGACCGCAGCCCCGGUUGUGGCCCAGUAGGGCCAUUUUCCUUUCCCACCAUUACAGGCCAAGCUGAAACACCGCAAAGCUCCCGACCACUGAGCAGCUACAUCCUUAGUCCAUUAAAUAGCAUUCUAAAAUAUGAGUCCUCAUGGCUGCCUACAUUCCAUUGUGAACUACUUAG